rnacentral:lncRNA from 1 species
AUGCCAGGGUGUGCGAUGCUUUCCCAUGUUCUCCACUCAGUCUGUCACCCAGAUCUUUCUGCCACGGCUAAGGCUUGGUGGUGCUAUGUGCUGCCCUGCAGGCUUCACAUGGCAAGCUGGCUUCUGAAGUCAGGCUGCACCAGUAACAGCAAGCCAGGCAUUGUAAUUAUUUCAUGUAUAACCUGGAUUUUCACUAUGGUGCAUUGUAGGAGUGUAUCCAACUGUGGUGGUGGCCUGACCUUGCUUUUAGAAGUCCACUCUUUGGUAGAGCACUGUAACUUCUCUCAAACCUCCUGCAGGUCAGUGUUGUUGUGGUGUGAGCCUCUGAUCCUGCCUCUGCCAGUCCUUCCUGUCCCCGUCUGUCUGCAGGCACUGGGAGAGUCCUCCCCACACAGGUGCUUCUCUCGUGUGCAUCCUGCUCCAGCCUUCCCACACAGCCGCCAGCCCAGCAGCAUCCAGCCUGGGGAUCAUUCUUCUGCCAGCAGGUCACCAACAACCCCGUUAUACUGGGGUAGCCAUUCAGCUUUUAUUGCCCUGCUGGUAUUCCGUUGUACACUGGCCACAUCCUCCUCCUGAGGUGCCCAAGUCUGAAUUGACCCCACAGAUUUUGGGGACCCGUGUGCUAUUGAUCCUGAAAAAACAGGGAAGAGCCCCCUCAGCCCCUGCUAACGAAGCCUCCUCCCGCGGAACCCGGCCGUGUCGGUGCCCCAGCAGCAGCCCCACGGCCUGUCGCGGACACGCGUGUGCCCGUGGCGCUGAGCGAGCGGCCUGCAGCGGCCUCGGCGCCUUCCGUGGGCUCGGGCUGGCCCCUGGCGGCCGCCGGGGCGCGAUGCAGCCCUGCUGGGCCGGCCGCAGCGCAUCGGCCCCGGCACCGCCUGGAGCCCAGCCUCAGCCCCUAGGCCUGCCCCGGCUCUUCCCAGUGAAUCGGAGUUCUCUACCCCCCCGCAUAGCUCAGUGGACACGGGCUUUCGGAGCAAGCUCGCGGUUGUAGGAAGGGAGAACCUGUUUUCUGAUUCAUGGGCGUCACAGAAUCAUUAGGGUCAGAGAAGCCCUCUAAGAUCAUCUGGUCCAACCGUCCUGCUACCACCACCAUCACCCACUGAGCCAUGUCCCCAAGCACCAUGUCCAGCCUUCCCUUGAACACCCCCAGGGACGGUGACUCCACCACCUCCCUGGGCAACCCGUCCCAGUGCCUGACUGCUCUUUCUGAGCAGAAAUGUCUCCUCAUUUCCAGCCUGAACCUCCCCUGCCACAACUUGAGGCCAUUCCCUCUGGUCCUAUCACUGGUUACCUGUGAGAAGAGGCUGACCCCCAGCUCCCCACAGCUUCCUUUCAGGUAGCUGCAGAGAGCAAUGAGGUCUCCCCUGAGCCCCCUCUUCUCCAGACCAAACACCCCCAGCCGCUCCUCAAAGUAAUUGUGCUCCAGGCCCUUCACCAGCUUCAUAGCCCUGCUCUGGACACUCUCCAGGGCCUUGGUGUCCUUCUUGUAGUGAGGGGCCCAAAACUGAACACAGCACUUGAUGUGCAGCUUCACCAGAGCUGAGUACGGUGGGACGAUCACUUCCCUGCUCCUGCUGGCUGCACUAUUGCUGACACAAGCCAGGGUGCUGUUGGCCUUCUUGGACACGUGGGCACACUGCUGGCUCAUGUUCAGGUGAGCAUUAAUCAGCACCCCCAGAUCCCUUUCCUCUGCAAAGGACAUCUCUGUGUCCUUGAGGUGACAGCAUCUGCAGCAUUCAGGGGACUCACAGAAACAUUGCAGCCACUGCGCUGCUCCCCACUGAGCCCUGGCAGCCCAGCUGCAGCAGGGUGGAUGUGGCCGAGGAAGCCCAAGGUGCUUCCCAUGCUUCCCAUCACUUGCUGGGAGAGGACGAUGCUCCCCAACAGCAACUCAAGGAGCCACCUGACAGCCAUGGGCUGGAUAUGGCCAAGGGCAGAGGAUCAUUUUCCAGUGCUAUGGUGAGGUCUCUUUGAGAUGGUGUUUUCAGUGUUAGACAGAUUAAGCUCUGUCCUGUGUGUGUCACCAGCAUAGAGGUUGCUGGUCCCUAUGGAGCUGCAUUUUCAGGGGAAAACACUAAGCUUUGAGACUUACUUCCUUAGGUAUUCAAAAGAGGUAAGGUUGUGGGGUCAGCAGGAUGCCAGCAUCUCCUCUCUUGCAAACUUUUGGGAGUGAGUGUGGUGGUAGCAGGGUGGUUAUUUUGUAAUGUAUAUGUGCUUGGAGGAGGGUAACAGGCCUAAAAAGAAAAAUCAACAAUCAAAGAACGUACAAUUGUGAGAAGUGGAAAACUUGUAGAAGGUACCAGAACACUGCAGCAUUUUUGUACAUGCAGACCUUAGCAGUGAAUGCAGAACAUCCUCUGUGUACAAAAGAAAGCAGCUAAACAUGCAUGAUAGAUGUGCUGUGCUUUUGUGGGCAUGGGCCACGUGAAAUCAGGCGCAUGAGCUGCUGGUCCUUUAGGGUGUUUAGCUGCAUUAGCUCCCUUCUCAGACUCGAGGUUUUUACAGACAUUAUAAAAGGUGAUGACAUUAAUGUAUGCUGCUCAGAACUUGACAUUCCUCCUGCAAUGCUGUCCCUUUUAUAAAGCACCAAGUACUUCAAAGAAGUGGAAAACAAUAUAUCUUGCUCAGAAAUGAACUGCCUGGAUGGAAAGCACUGUCAGCAAAAAUUGUUUUAUUUCCUGCAUACAAAACCAUUAACCUCUUAAAUGAUAGGAGAUACAAACCGUGAACAAUAAAAGAUACCAAAGGAAGGGUGUGGUCCCUGCC